rnacentral:rRNA from 1 species
UUGAACGCUGGCGGCAUGCUUUACACCUGCCAGUCGAACGGCAGCGCGGGCUUCGGCCUGGCGGCGAGUGGCGAACGGGUGAGUAAUACAUCGGAACGUGCCCAGUAGUGGGGGAUAGCUCGGCGAAAGCCGGAUUAAUACCGCAUACGACCUGAGGGUGAAAGCGGGGGAUCUUCGGACCUCGCGCUAUUGGGGCGGCCGAUGGCAGAUUAGCUAGUUGGUGGGGUAAAGGCCUACCAAGGCGACGAUCUGUAGCUGGUCUGAGAGGACGACCAGCCACACUGGGACUGAGACACGGCCCAGACUCCUACGGGAGGCAGCAGUGGGGAAUUUUGGACAAUGGGCGAAAGCCUGAUCCAGCAAUGCCGCGUGUGUGAUGAAGGCCUUCGGGUUGUAAAGCACUUUUGGCGGGAACGAAAAGGACUGUGCCAAUACCACGGUUCGAUGACGGUACCCGCAGAAUAAGCACCGGCUAACUACGUG